GCCACGCCCGCUCAAGAAACUACAAAGGAAUUGACGGGGGCCCGCACAAGCGGAGGAGCAUGUGGUUUAAUUCGAUGAUACGCGAGGAACCUUACCUGGGCUCGAACGUAAGAUGACUGUAGGUGAAAAGCUUACAUCUCUUCGGAGCAUUUUACGAGGUGCUGCAUGGUUGUCGUCAGCUCGUGCCGUGAGGUGUCGGGUUAAGUCCCAUAACGAGCGCAACCCCUACCUUUAGUUGCCAUCAGGUUAAGCUGGGACUCUAAAGGAACUGCCUACGCAAGUAGUGAGGAAGGCGGGGAUGACGUCAAAUCAGCACGGCCCUUACGUCCAGGGCUACACACGUGCUACAAUGGCCGAUACAGAGGGCAGCUACCUGGUGACAGGAUGCAAAUCUCCAAAGUCGGUCUCAGUUCGGAUCGGAGUCUGCAACCCGACUCCGUGAAGUUGGAUUCGCUAGUAAUCGUGAAUCAGAAUGUCACGGUGAAUACGUUCCCGGGCCUU
rnacentral:rRNA from 1 species